GUGGGCGCGUGCUUACCAUGCAAGUCGAACGAUGAUCUCCCGCUUGCGGGGGUGAUUAGUGGCGAACGGGUGAGUAAUACGUGAGUAACCUGCCCUUGACUCUGGGAUAAGCCUGGGAAACCGGGUCUAAUACUGGAUACUACCUUUCAUCGCAUGGUGGGGGGUGGAAAGGGUUUUACUGGUUUUGGAUGGGCUCACGGCCUAUCAGCUUGUUGGUGGGGUAAUGGCUCACCAAGGCGACGACGGGUAGCCGGCCUGAGAGGGUGACCGGCCACACUGGGACUGAGACACGGCCCAGACUCCUACGGGAGGCAGCAAGUGGGGAAUAUUGCACAAUGGGCGGAAGCCUGAUGCAGGACGCCGCGUGAGGGAUGACGGCCUUCGGGUUGUAAACCUCUUUCAGCAGGGAAGAAGCCACAAGUGACGGUACCUGCAGAAGAAGCGCCGGCUAACUACGUGCCAGCAGCCGCGGUAAUACGUAGGGCGCAAGCGUUGUCCGGAAUUAUUGGGCGUAAAGAGCUCGUAGGCGGUUUGUCGCGUCUGCUGUGAAAGCCCGGGGCUCAACCCCGGGUCUGCAGUGGGUACGGGCAGACUAGAGUGCAGUAGGGGAGACUGGAAUUCCUGGUGUAGCGGUGAAAUGCGCAGAUAUCAGGAGGAACACCGAUGGCGAAGGCAGGUCUCUGGGCUGUUACUGACGCUGAGGAGCGAAAGCAUGGGGAGCGAACAGGAUUAGAUACCCUGGUAGUCCAUGCCGUAAACGUUGGGCACUAGGUGUGGGGGACAUUCCACGUUCUCCGCGCCGUAGCUAACGCAUUAAGUGCCCCGCCUGGGGAGUACGGCCGCAAGGCUAAAACUCAAAGGAAUUGACGGGGGCCCGCACAAGCGGCGGAGCAUGCGGAUUAAUUCGAUGCAACGCGAAGAACCUUACCAAGGCUUGACAUUCACCGGACCGCACUGGAAACAGGGUUUCCCUUCGGGGUCAGUGGACAGGGGGCGCAUGGUUGUGUCAGCUCGUGUCGUGAGAUGUUGGGUUAAGUCCCGCAACGAGCGCAACCCUCGUUCUAUGUUGCCAGCACGUGAUGGUGGGGACUCAUAGGAGACUGCCGGGGUCAACUCGGAGGAAGGUGGGGAUGACGUCAAAUCAUCAUGCCCCUUAUGUCUUGGGCUUCACGCAUGCUACAAUGGCCGGUACAAAGGGUUGCGAUACUGUGAGGUGGAGCUAAUCCCAAAAAGCCGGUCUCAGUUCGGAUUGAGGUCUGCAACUCGACCUCAUGAAGUCGGAGUCGCUAGUAAUCGCAGAUCAGCAACGCUGCGGUGAAUACGUUCCCGGGCCUUGUACACACCGCCCGUCAAGUCACGAAAGUUGGUAACACCCGAAGCCGGUGGCCUAACCCCUUGUGGGAGGGAGCCGUCGAAGGGGAACGUG
rnacentral:rRNA from 1 species